GACGAACGCUGGCGGCGUGCCUAACACAUGCAAGUCGAACGGAAGUAAGUGCUUCGGUAUUUACUUUAGUGGCGAACGGGUGAGUAACGCGUGAGGAACCUGCCUUUCAGUGGGGGACGAACAGUUGGAACGACUGCUAAUACCGCAUGACGCUUCUUAGGGGCGAUCCCUGAGAAGUCAAAGCUUUAUGUGCUGAAAGAUGGCCUCGCGUCUGAUUAGCUAGUUGGUGGGGUAACGGCCCACCAAGGCGACGAUCAGUAGCCGGUCUGAGAGGAUGAACGGCCACAUUGGGACUGAGAUACGGCCCAG
rnacentral:rRNA from 1 species